rnacentral:rRNA from 1 species
CCUACGGGUGGCAGCAGUGAGGAAUAUUGGUCAAUGGGCGAGAGCCUGAACCAGCCAAGUCGCGUGAAGGAUGACGGCCCUACGGGUUGUAAACUUCUUUUGUCAGGGAGCAAUUGGGUCCACGCGUGGGCUUAGCUCGAGUACCUGAAGAAAAAGCAUCGGCUAACUCCGUGCCAGCAGCCGCGGUAAUAGGGGGGAUGCGAGGGUUAUCCGGAUUUAUUGGGUUUAAAGGGUGCGUGGGCGGAAUAUCAAGUCAGCGGUAAAAAUUCGGGGCCAAACCCCGUAGUGCCGUUGAGACUGGUGGUCUUGAGUGGGCGAGAGGUAUGCGGAAUGCGUGGUGUAGCGGUGAAAUGCAUAGAGAUCACGCAGAACUCCGAUUGCGAAGGCAGCAUACCGGCGCCCAACUGACGCUGAAGCACGAAAGCGUGGGUAUCGAACAGGAUUAGAUACCCCUGUAGUC